ACAGAGGGUGCAAGCGUUAAUCGGAUUUACUGGGCGUAAAGCGCGCGUAGGCGGCUAAUUAAGUCAAAUGUGAAAUCCCCGAGCUUAACUUGGGAAUUGCAUUCGAUACUGGUUAGCUAGAGUGUGGGAGAGGAUGGUAGAAUUCCAGGUGUAGCGGUGAAAUGCGUAGAGAUCCGGAGGAACCCCGGUGGCGAAGGCGACUUGCUGGGCCUGAACUGACGCUCAGACGCGAAAGCAUGGGGAGCGAACGG
rnacentral:rRNA from 1 species